rnacentral:tRNA from 1 species
AGUAGAAUGGCUGAGAUUUAAAUAGGUGAUAGAUUGUAAAUCUAUUAAGGGGUUUAACCCUUCUACUA